UACGUAGGGUGCAAGCGUUGUCCGGAAUUAUUGGGCGUAAAGAGCUCGUAGGCGGUUUGUCGCGUCUGCUGUGAAAAUCCAGGGCUUAACCCUGGACCUGCAGUGGGUACGGGCAGACUGGAGUGCGGUAGGGGAGAUCGGAAUUCCUGGUGUAGCGGUGAAAUGCGCAGAUAUCAGGAGGAACACCGAUUGCGAAGGCAGCUCGCUGGAACGUUACUGACGCUGAGACGCGAAAGCGUGGGGAGCAAACAGG
rnacentral:rRNA from 1 species